rnacentral:rRNA from 1 species
GAUCCUGGCUCAGGAUGAACGCUAGCUACAGGCUUAACACAUGCAAGUCGAGGGGCAGCAUGAACUUAGCUUUGCUAAGUUUGAUGGCGACCGGCGCACGGGUGAGUAACACGUAUCCAACCUUCCGUUUACUCGAGGGAUAGCCUUCGAAGAAGAUUAAUACCUGAUAGUAUGGUGAGAGUUGCGAUGAUAACACCAUUAAAGAUUUAUUGGUAAACGAUGGGGAUGCGUUCCAUUAGGG